rnacentral:rRNA from 1 species
UCGAACGCUGGCGGCGUGCUUAACACAUGCAAGUCGAACGGAAAGGCCCUUCGGGGUACUCGAGUGGCGAACGGGUGAGUAACACGUGGGUGAUCUGCCCUGCACUUUGGGAUAAGCCUGGGAAACUGGGUCUAAUACCGAAUAUGACCACGCUCUUCAUGGGGUGUGGUGGAAAGCUUUUGCGGUGUGGGAUGGGCCCGCGGCCUAUCAGCUUGUUGGUGGGGUAAUGGCCUACCAAGGCGACGACGGGUAGCCGGCCUGAGAGGGUGACCGGCCACACUGGGACUGAGAUACGGCCCAGACUCCUACGGGAGGCAGCAGUGGGGAAUAUUGCACAAUGGGCGCAAGCCUGAUGCAGCGACGCCGCGUGAGGGAUGACGGCCUUCGGGUUGUAAACCUCUUUCACCAGGGACGAAGCGCAAGUGACGGUACCUGGAGAAGAAGCACCGGCCAACUACGUGCCAGCAGCCGCGGUAAUACGUAGGGUGCGAGCGUUGUCCGGAAUUACUGGGCGUAAAGAGCUCGUAGGUGGUUUGUCGCGUUGUUCGUGAAAACUCACAGCUUAACUGUGGGCGUGCGGGCGAUACGGGCAGACUAGAGUACUGCAGGGGAGACUGGAAUUCCUGGUGUAGCGGUGGAAUGCGCAGAUAUCAGGAGGAACACCGGUGGCGAAGGCGGGUCUCUGGGCAGUAACUGACGCUGAGGAGCGAAAGCGUGGGGAGCGAACAGGAUUAGAUACCCUGGUAGUCCACGCCGUAAACGGUGGGUACUAGGUGUGGGUUCCUUCCUUGGGAUCCGUGCCGUAGCUAACGCAUUAAGUACCCCACCUGGGGAGUACAGCCGCAAGAGGGAU